GCGCCUUGUGCCCGUUGGGCAAGGGCCACAGGCAUGGGCCCCAGCCCCCAGCAGAAAAGGCACUCAGGCUCCCGAGGGAAGUUUGUGAGCAGCCUGGGAGCUCCUGUGGGCAGGCAGUAGGCGUGAUGGAAGGAGAAAAAUCAUCACAGCUCACACCAAUUCUUCAUACGGUCCUUGAUGGGGUCAAGCUGCUGGUGCCCACACCUUCAUACGGUCCUUGAUGGGGUCAAGCUGCUGGUGCCCACACCUUUGCUGGGCACCCUGCAUUGUUUCUGGACUCUUCCUCUGUUGUGGCCAGCUUCUGAGAUGACCUCUGAUGAGCCUCACCUCCAGUCCUCAUGCCCUAUGAUGUCUGUGGUCUGUUUACCUAGUGGAGUAAGGUGGAGGUGAUGGUGUGUGACUCCUGAGGCCAGGCCACCAAAGGCAUUGCAGUGCCCUCCUGCAUCUUUUGGAUUCUUGCCCUGGAGAAUGCCAGCUGACAUGUUGUGAGGACAUUCAAGCACCCUGCUGAGAGGAACUGAGACCGCCCACUAAUAGCCAUGCAGAUGAGCCUGGAGACAGACCUUCCAGCCCCAGGCGAGCCUUCAGAUGAUGGCAGCCAUGGCCAAUGACUGACAACAAACUCACGAAGAGAGCUGAGCCAGGACCACCCAGCCAAGACCCACAGAACCUGCAAGGGAUAAAUAAAAGAUAAUUGUUGCUUUAA